AGAGUUUGAUCCUGGCUCAGGACGAACGCUGGCGGCGCGCCUAACACAUGCAAGUCGAACGAGCGAGAGAGAGCUUGCUUUCUCGAGCGAGUGGCGAACGGGUGAGUAACGCGUGAGGAACCUGCCUCAAAGAGGGGGACAACAGUUGGAAACGACUGCUAAUACCGCAUAAGCCCACGGCUCGGCAUCGAGCAGAGGGAAAAGGAGCAAUCCGCUUUGAGAUGGCCUCGCGUCCGAUUAGCUAGUUGGUGAGGUAACGGCCCACCAAGGCGACGAUCGGUAGCCGGACUGAGAGGUUGAACGGGCACAUUGGGACUGAGACACGGCCCAGACUCCUACGGGAGGCAGCAGUGGGGAAUAUUGCACAAUGGGGGAAACCCUGAUGCAGUGACGCCGCGUGGAGGAAGAAGGUCUUCGGAUUGUAAACUCCUGUUGUUGGGGAAGAUAAUGACGGUACCCAACAAGGAAGUGACGGCUAACUACGUGCCAGCAGCCGCGGUAAAACGUAGGUCACAAGCGUUGUCCGGAAUUACUGGGUGUAAAGGGAGCGCAGGCGGGAAGACAAGUUGGAAGUGAAAUCUAUGGGCUCAACCCAUAAACUGCUUUCAAAACUGUUUUUCUUGAGUAGUGCAGAGGUAGGCGGAAUUCCCGGUGUAGCGGUGGAAUGCGUAGAUAUCGGGAGGAACACCAGUGGCGAAGGCGGCCUACUGGGCACCAACUGACGCUGAGGCUCGAAAGUGUGGGUAGCAAACAGGAUUAGAUACNCUGGUAGUCCACACCGUAAACGAUGAUUACCAGGUGUUGGAGGAUUGACCCCUUCAGUGCCGCAGUUAACACAAUAAGUAAUCCACCUGGGGAGUACGACCGCAAGGUUGAAACUCAAAGGAAUUGACGGGGGCCCGCACAAGCAGUGGAGUAUGUGGUUUAAUUCGACGCAACGCGAAGAACCUUACCAAGUCUUGACAUCCCUUGACGAUGCUGGAAACAGUAUUUCUCUUCGGAGCAAGGAGACAGGUGGUGCAUGGUUGUCGUCAGCUCGUGUCGUGAGAUGUUGGGCUAAGUCCCGCAACGAGCGCAACCCUUAUGGUCAGUUACUACGUAAGAGGACUCUGGCCAGACUGCCGUUGACAAAACGGAGGAAGGUGGGGAUGACGUCAAAUCAUCAUGCCCUUUAUGACUUGGGCUGCACACGUACUACAAUGGCGUUAAACAAAGAGAAGCAAGACCGCGAGGUGGAGCAAAACUCAGAAACAACGUCCCAGUUCGGACUGCAGGCUGCAACCCGCCUGCACGAAGUCGGAAUUGCUAGUAAUCGUGGAUCAGCAUGCCACGGUGAAUACGUUCNCCGGGCCCUUGUACACACCGCCCGU
rnacentral:rRNA from 1 species